rnacentral:rRNA from 1 species
UUUUAUGAGAGUUUGAUCCUGGCUCAGGACGAACGCUGGCGGCGUGCCUAAUACAUGCAAGUCGAACGCUUCUUUUUCCACCGGAGCUUGCUCCACCGGAAAAAGAGGAGUGGCGAACGGGUGAGUAACACGUGGGUAACCUGCCCAUCAGAAGGGGAUAACACUUGGAAACAGGUGCUAAUACCGUAUAACAAUCAAAACCGCAUGGUUUUGAUUUGAAAGGCGCUUUCAGGUGUCGCUGAUGGAUGGACCCGCGGUGCAUUAGCUAGUUGGUGAGGUAACGGCUCACCAAGGCCACGAUGCAUAGCCGACCUGAGAGGGUGAUCGGCCACAUUGGGACUGAGACACGGCCCAAACUCCUACGGGAGGCAGCAGUAGGGAAUCUUCGGCAAUGGACGAAAGUCUGACCGAGCAACGCCGCGUGAGUGAAGAAGGUUUUCGGAUCGUAAAACUCUGUUGUUAGAGAAGAACAAGGAUGAGAGUAACUGUUCAUCCCUUGACGGUAUCUAACCAGAAAGCCACGGCUAACUACGUGCCAGCAGCCGCGGUAAUACGUAGGUGGCAAGCGUUGUCCGGAUUUAUUGGGCGUAAAGCGAGCGCAGGCGGUUUCUUAAGUCUGAUGUGAAAGCCCCCGGCUCAACCGGGGAGGGUCAUUGGAAACUGGGAGA